UACAGAGGGUGCGAGCGUUAAUCGGAAUUACUGGGCGUAAAGCGCGCGCAGGCGGCCUUUUAAGUCUGAUGUGAAAGCCCACGGCUCAACCGUGGAAGGUCAUUGGAAACUGAAAGGCUUGAGUACAGAAGAGGAAAGCGGAAUUCCACGUGUAGCGGUGAAAUGCGUAGAGAUGUGGAGGAACACCAGUGGCGAAGGCGGCUUUCUGGUCUGUAACUGACGCUGAGGCGCGAAAGCGUAGGGAGCAAACAGG
rnacentral:rRNA from 1 species